rnacentral:rRNA from 1 species
GACGAACGCUGGCGGCGUGCCUAAUACAUGCAAGUUGAGCGCUGAAGGUUGGUACUUGUACCAACUGGAUGAGCAGCGAACGGGUGAGUAACGCGUGGGGAAUCUGCCUUUGAGCGGGGGACAACAUUUGGAAACGAAUGCUGAUACCGCAUAAAAACUUUAAACACAAGUUUUAAGUUUGAAAGAUGCAUUUGCAUCACUCAAAGAUGAUCCCGCGUUGUAUUAGCUAGUUGGUGAGGUAAAGGCUCACCAAGGCGAUGGUACAUAGCCGACCUGAGAGGGUGAUCGGCCACAAUGGGACUGGGAAAAGGCCCAAGCUCCUACGGGAGGCAGCAGUAGGGAAUCUUCGGCAAUGGACGAAAGGCUGACCGAGGAACGCCGGGGGAGUGAAGAAAGGUUUCGGAUCGUAAAACUCUGUUGGUAGAGAAGAACGUUGGUGAGAGUGGAAAGCUCAUCAAGUGACGGUAACUACCCAGAAAGGGACGGCUAACUACGUG